UACGUAGGGGGCUAGCGUUGUCCGGAUUUAUUGGGCGUAAAGAGCAUGUAGGCGGCCAGGUAGGUCUGCUGUGAAAACUCGAGGCUCAACCUCGAGACGUCGGCGGAAACCAUCUGGCUAGAGUCCGGAAGAGGAGAGUGGAAUUCCUGGUGUAGCGGUGAAAUGCGCAGAUAUCAGGAAGAACACCCGUGGCGAAGGCGGCUCUCUGGGACGGUACUGACGCUGAGACGCGAAAGCGUGGGGAGCGAACAGG
rnacentral:rRNA from 1 species